CUGAGCUGACGGGCCUCGAUCCCGUAAAAUUUUA
rnacentral:tRNA from 1 species